GAUGAACGCUAGCGGCAGGCCUAACACAUGAAGUCGAGGGGCAGCACAGAAACAGCAAUGUUUUGGUGGCGACCGGCGGACGGGUGCGUAACGCGUAUGCAACCUACCUUUAACAGGGGGAUAACGGAGAGAAAUUUCCACUAAUACCCCAUAACAUCGAUCAAGGCAUCUUGAUUGGUUGAAAACUCCGGUGGUUAAAGAUGGGCAUGCGUUGUAUUAGGUAGUUGGUGAGGUAAUGGCUCACCAAGCCUACGAUACAUAGGGGGACUGAGAGGUUAGCCCCCCACACUUGUACUGAGACACGGACCAGACUCCUACGGGAGGCAGCAGUGAGGAAUAUUGGUCAAUGGGGGCAACCCUGAACCAGCCAUGCCGCGUGCAGGAAGACGGCUCUAUGAGUUGUAAACUGCUUUUAAACAGGGAUAAAGCACAGUAUGUAUACUGUGUUGAAGGUACUGUAAGAAUAAGGAUCGGCUAACUCCGUGCCAGCCGCCGCAGUAA
rnacentral:rRNA from 1 species